GAAUUUCAGUAAUUAUGUAGAUAUUACUUAUUUUAUUUAUUAUAUAGUUCUGUUUGUCUAAUUCUCACUCUGUGUUUCUGUUUUCUUUCAGAUUUCUCCAAGAUCGUCAUCAUCAUUACUGGUGUGUGUGUGAUUGUGCUGCUGAUCUGUGGAUUCACUCUCACUGUGUGUAAAUUAAGACGCAAGAGAACAGAAAUAACCUCCACAUCGGACAAGGGAAAGAGAGUGAAAAACACAGCGUCAUCAGACAGCAGACGUGAUCCUGGAUCAGCAGAGAUGACCAGUCCUGAUGAAGGAUCUUCUGAUGAGCUUCUGUACGCAUCCGUCACUUUCCAGAAGCAACAAGAGUCUCUCAGUGAAGCUGCAGUCACCUUCAGGACACGUCAGGUUUACUCUGAUUAUACCACAGUCAGUCUCAAAUCAGACUGUCUAUCUCACUGAUAACUGCAGGGUUUUAAUAAACUGUGAUAUGCACGUGCUUAAUCUGUUCCUCGUUUUUUUAAUCAGGGUAAUUCACAUCAGUUCAGUGUUGACCCAUGAGACACUUUUUAGUUUCCACUGAUGAUGUUCUUUCACAUUUAAAAUAGCAUCUGUGUGAAAUGUUUGUCGUCUUGCUUCGAGGGUGUGAUGAACACAGGAAAUAAAGCACUGAGAGAAGUUUCCACUGCAAACACAGAGACACACUUAGUUAUAAUGAGUUUAAUCUUUGCACUGGUACAGAAUGUUUGGAAUGUUUAGAAUAUCACAAGUUUUAGAACCUGACACUGUAUUCCGCAGUUUCCAUGGCAGUGCAUCUAUUUUCUUCAGUUAAGAAUAAUGGCAGAUUUAAAUUCUUUGUUUGAUGUUCUGGAACCUGCGUUCGAAGUUCUGAACAUUCUAAAUGCCCCAUGUGGAAGUGCACUGCAGCCCUUAAAGCGGUCACAAUCCUUUUACCUGCUAUAGAUUUGUACUUGUGUGUUUCUCAUUUUGCUCUGUUAGUCGUUUUCCUGAAAUAUUGUUUAUUAAAUGGUAUUCAUGAAGAAUAUUUAACAUCAGUUAUGGUUAGAGUUAGGUUAAUUUAAAUCAUUAAAAUGUUUUUUUCAAUAAUCAAUUCACUAAAAAUGUUCUUUGAGAUAUUAAAUAAGUUUCUUUUCUGGCAUCACUGCAUUUAGAAGCUCUCAUGCAUUAAAUAAACUUCAUUGCAUAAUCAUAUAUUUUACAGAAAAUUAUAAAUAUUCUUGAUUUGCUUUUGUUUCUAGUUUAUUGCCCAAAUUAAAUGAGUGGAUUCAGAGAGAUCCAGAGAAGCAACAGUACAAGAAAAUAAUUAUUAUCUAUAAUGUUGUGUUUUAAUUGCAGAACUAAUCUAAAUAUUCACAUAUGAACUAUUUGUCAGUGGUCCAGUCAGUACAAUAUUAAAACUGGAUUUUUUAAUGAUUAUGAUCUGUAUUAUUAAUUGUUAUUGUGAUCUCGAGGCUCAAACAUGACCUGCGUUCUGUUGGUGUUUUAAUGCUUGUGGAAUGUAAGGUUGUUUUUUCCGUCCAGCUCAAAGCCACAGAAGCAGGUGAAGGUUCAGGCUCUCGGUUUAGUUUGACUGAACAUUACAGAGACUCUCAGGCGCUGAAGAUUAAAAGAAGACAAAGAGCUGCAAAUCCUGUGUUCAUCUUCAUCUAUUGAAGUCGAAAUGUCAUUGACUAUUUUUAAUUCGGCCAAUGAAUAUAAAAGUCAGUAGCGUCCAUUUUGCUUUUCUGUGCUCAAGACAGAUGCAAAGAUAAUCUGCCUGAUAAUCUGGACAGAGAUAUGACAGUAUUGUUGAAUGUCAAAUGUUUGUACAGGGGUUUAAAUGUUUAAAUGUGCAUAUUUUAGCAACAAAACUUAAUUAUGAAAGCAUUUUUAAGAUGUAAAUUGUGUAAUUUCGGGAGAAAAUACCUUUGAUUAGCAAGAAU